AUUUAACACUGUUUGUAAGAUCCCCUUUCAGGGACCCUCACUCUAGUCUCAGGAGAGAGAGUGCACCCAAACACGAGAACCC
rnacentral:pre_miRNA from 7 species